rnacentral:rRNA from 1 species
GUACGCGAGCUGGGUUUAGAACGUCGUGAGACAGUUCGGUCCCUAUCUGCCGUGGGCGUUGGAAGAUUGAGAGGGGUUGCUCCUAGUACGAGAGGACCGGAGUGAACGCACCACUGGUGUUCGGGUUGUCAUGCCAAUGGCACUGCCCGGUAGCUAAGUGCGGAAAAGAUAAGCGCUGAAAGCAUCUAAGCGCGAAACUUGCCUCAAGAUGAGUCUUCCCUGGGACCUUGAGUCCCCUGAAGGAACGUUUAAGACUAAGACGUUGAUAGGCUGGGUGUGUAAGUGCAGCGAUGCAUUGAGCUAACCAGUACUAAUGAACCGUGAGGCUUAACCUUACAACACCGAAGGUGUUUUAG